rnacentral:rRNA from 1 species
UACAGAGGUCCCAAGCGUUGUUCGGAUUUACUGGGCGUAAAGCGUGCGCAGGCGGUGAUGUAAGACAGUUGUGAAAUCCCCGGGCUCAACCUGGGAACUGCAUCUGUGACUGCAUCGCUGGAGUGCGGCAGAGGGGGAUGGAAUUCCGCGUGUAGCAGUGAAAUGCGUAGAUAUGCGGAGGAACACCGAUGGCGAAGGCAAUCCCCUGGGCCUGCACUGACGCUCAUGCACGAAAGCGUGGGGAGCAAACAGG